UAUUCCUGUCAUGGCACACGUGGUAGUCUAUUAAUGCUCGCAGCUGUUUGAGAACAGCUGUUAUUGUUAACCUCUCCUGGUGGUCAGAACAUCUUUGCAGCAGGCGGCGAUAUCUAUUUCGUUGUCCAAUUAAGUUCAGUUUUGCUUUAUUGUACAAAGGAAUAGACGUUGAUUUCUCGUAAAAUGAUCCGAAAAUCGUGCAGGUCAGUGGAAUAUGAUCGGAAUCAAGUGCACCUUCAUGUGUAGCGAUUGGCGAAACCUGCAGUGUUGAAUUCAUGAGCAUUAAAUCCACAACUGAAGGCGUCGUUGAGACUGUUUGCUGACCAUACCUUGUGUACGAGUUCGGGUAGUAAAUUAAAUAAUUAGAAAUUAGAUGGUGAUUGUAAAGUUUGUUCCCAGCAGUGUUGUUUUUAAGACAGUGCCAGCUUAUAUGAUGAGCGUUGAAAUCCCCGAAAAUAAAAAAUUCUGAUGCGCUUGUUGUUAUUAUUUCCAAAUCAUUGACAAAAUGAUUGGUAAACCUUGGACUAUAUGCAGAAGUGAUUCUCACAGGAUGGUUGUUUAAAUUAA